GGUAUAUAGCUCAGUUGUUAAGAGCGCUUGCAUUGCAUGCACAAGGCCCUGGGUUCAAUCCCCAGCACCA
rnacentral:tRNA from 1 species